rnacentral:rRNA from 1 species
GAUGAACGCUGGCGGCGUGCCUAAUACAUGCAAGUCGAACGAUGAAGCGCAGCUUGUUGGGUGGAUUAGUGGCGAACGGGUGAGUAACAAGCGAGUAAAUUGCCUUUAACUCUGGGUUAAGCCAGGGAGACUGGGCCUAAUAACGGCUAGGAGCGAUCACCGAACGGAGGGUGCUGGAAUGAUAUAUCGGUUUUAGAUGGACUCGCGGCCUAUCAGCUUGUCAGUGAGGUAAUGGUUCACUAAGGGGUCGACAGGUAGCCGACCUGGGAAGGUAAUCGGCCACACUACGACUACGGCACGGCCCAGACUCCUACGUGAGGCAGCAGUGGAGAAUAUUGCGCAAUAGGCGCAAGCCAGAUACAACGGCGCCGCGUGAGUGAUGACGGCCUUCGAGUUAUAAACCUCUGUCUGUGUAAAAAAAGCGAUAUUGACGGUACCUGCAGAAAAAGCACCGGCUAACUACGUG